rnacentral:rRNA from 1 species
UACGUAGGUGACAAGCGUUGUCCGGAUUUACUGGGCGUAAAGAGCGCGCAGGCGGUCGAUCAAGUCGAGUGUGAAAGCCCCCGGCUCAACUGGGGAGGGUCAUUCGAUACUGAUCGACUCGAAGGCAGGAGAGGGUAGUGGAAUUCCCGGUGUAGUGGUGAAAUGUGUAGAGAUCGGGAGGAACACCGGUGGCGAAGGCGGUCUUCUGGACGGUGACUGACGCUGAGGCGCGAAAGCGUGGGGAGCAAACGGG